rnacentral:rRNA from 1 species
UACGUAGGGGGCGAGCGUUUGUCCGGAUUUAUUGGGCGUAAAGAGCGUGUAGGCGGUUCGGUAAGUCUGUCGUGAAAUCCUGAGGCUCAACCUUGGACGUGCGAUGGAUACGUGCCGGGCUAGAGGAUGGUAGAGGCGAGUUGGAAUUCCCGGUGUAGCGGUGAAAUGCGCAGAUAUCGGGAGGAACACCAGUAGCGAAGGCGGACUCGCUGGGCCAUUCCGUGACGCUGAGACGCGAAAAGCUAGGGGAGCAAACAGGGAUUAAGAU